rnacentral:lncRNA from 1 species
GGCUCCACUUGAUCAUCCAUUCAUAGUUACCAAAUACUCUAUCCAGUCUACUGCAUACUCUACCAUUGCUUGUCUGCCUGUUUGUCCAGGUGAAAUAAUCACCUUUCCAAGGUAGUUCUGAAAGUCCAGCCUGUUGUAUGCAUUGAGUAAACUCUUGAGUCUCUGAAUACUUAACAAUAUUACUUGACUGUCUAUCACUGCAUAUAACACAACAUUGAAAUCUCCAGCAACUAACCAUGCCUCAGUAAUAGAAACUGAAUAAUCCUGC